rnacentral:lncRNA from 1 species
AUGCAUGCUUGUUCAAUCUAUCAAGGACAUCGACAAUAUCUACUAUGAGACUACAGAAUACCGAAGAGAAUGGUGCACCAGCCCCUUGCUUUCUUUUUGCUAGGAAAUUCACUCGGCCUGCUGCCAUGCGUCUUCUUCACGAGCUGGAUAAAAAAUACCCUUACUAGAUAAAAAAGACGAAAAUACCCCUAACUUAACAGAGAAAAAUGGAUGGAUGAAAAUAGCAAUAUUUCAAACCUUUUGGAUCCAGAUGCGGAAAAACAAACUUUUGGGCGAAAGUCGUAAAACUUCGGGGACAAACAUGGCAUUUUACUCUCUGCACAAACAAUAACAAGUAUGAAUUAUACAACAUAAUACCUGCACGAUGUCAUUUCCUUGAGCCAUCGACAGGUGCCAUAUCACCUUCGGUCUCUCCACCAGGUUGUGUCAUCUUUCCAUUCUUCCUCGAGAACGGUUACCCUUUGGCGGCCCUAAACCGCUCUUCUGAAAAAUUCUGCAUAGCACAAACAUAUCCUUUUCCCCACCCACAAAACAAGAACACAAAGUACUUUCAAUAGUUCUAUAUAACUGCAUACAAUUACAAAUACAAUAAUCAUGAGUGAUGCAAUUUUCCAACCUCUGCUAUGCCAGCUGUCACCAAUUCUUGAUCCACAAGUCGGUAUUCAUGCAUGACCCAAUUAGUACGUUUUCCAUCUGGGGCCCGCCCGCUAUGGAACACAAGUGUUUUCUUCAUCCCUAUUGUUUCAGACUUGUGGGUGUUUAGUUUUUUUUAGAUUUUUUUUUUUUUUUAGAAUCCACACAUUAUGAAUUUUGAAUCUUUUAUUACUUUCACCAGUCUCCUCAAAAUAAUUAUGAAGGUAAACCCUAUAAAAAAGAUAGUUGUCACUUAGAGGCCACGGAUUAAGGGGCCCUCAAUUCUCUUGGUUAUAUACUAAAAUUGCACAUCGUUUUUCGAUUAUAUGAAUAUGUGAUGAUACUGUUAACAUAUUAAGAAUUUAUGCUAUUUAUCUUUGUAUUUUUCUUAGCAUUUCACAUAUUGGAUUAGAAUAGGUUGAUUUGUGGUUAACUUCCUUUAGUUUUCAGUUUUAACAAAAGGAUCAAAUAACCUAAUCUUGGA